ACGGUGCAGUAGCUUUUUGAAACUGUCGUAACAGAAGCGGUAAUACAGAAAAGCGACCAAUGCACAAACACCAGUCGCUAUCAGUAUGGUUAUGAAGUUGUAAAGGGAAAGCGUAAAGCCAUUGUCUAAUAAGCUGAAAUGUUCCCAGUCGGUACGCAUGAGCUGUUUUGUAUUUAAUAGCAGGAUAACCGCUACGAACACAAACAGGAGUGUCCCCAUUGAAAAGCGAUAGACAAGGUUCUUAUCGCUGGCUCUGAUACGGUGUCCUUUGUUUAAAAUCAUUCUCAUAAAUCAAUCACUCCUUUCUGGGUAUGAAAAAAGCAGUCAAUCGUAUAGACUAACUGCUUUGUGUGCAUGGAUAUGAAGUUGUCAAACUGGAAUUUAACGUUCACUCAUAUAUUGUUUUAUUUCAUCAGAAGUCAAUUUUCGUACUUCUGUAUGUGGAUAUUCUUUAUACUCUCCAACAUUAAACACAGGUGUCAUUUGUUUGCAUUUCUUGUCUUUAUUCUUUUUCAAGAAUAGAUGUAAAUCCUCAUUCCCGGCGAAUAUUUUAUAAGAUACUCUGCCUUUACUGUUCUCUAUCUCAUAAAUACCACAUGAACUUUUCGUUGUAUAAUCGGCUGUUCGUAAAUAAAGUUUUGCAAUUUCCAAUGACUUAAAAGGAAAAUUCCAUCUUUGUAAUCCUCUGUUUGGGUCAUGUUCAAUACAAAUGCAACGUCCACAAGUUCCACAAAUAUAUUGAGUGUGGUUUUCUAAGCAGUCCAAGGGAUUUAGUAAUGGUGUUAUUCUAUUUUCAUCAGAGUAACAUUCUUCACACAUUUUUCUUUUCGCUCCUUAUCAAAUUCUAAUUUGUCGCUUUCUUCAUACCCAUAUUAUAACAGUUCCGUAUAUCCUCUACAACGAAAAUCUAUUCAGCAAGUCUAUUUUUUCGGUUGUCCCUGCGGUGUAUGGUUCUGUGAAGUGCCUGUGUUCUGAUUGCCUUUAUUCUUCAGUACAAUAUCUUCUGCCUUUACAUACCAGUCCACAUCUGCACCCGUAUAGGUUUUUCGUGAUACCGUAUCGGCUACGGGAUUGACAAGCUCCACGACUGCAUUGUAAGGAAAUUCCCUUAACGGUACUUCUGGCGGUACGGACACGGGGAUAAUUCCACCAUGCAGACUGCACUUCAAAUCAUAGAUACGCUUUUUAAGCUGGGUACUCGGUGUCCCGUCCUCAUUUUGCAAGAACACAUCACGCACCGCUGUAAAUUUUAAUUCUCCAAAUGUUUUCUCUUUGUCAAUGACAAAUCCAUUUGAUAAUCUCAUAAAUUCUUCACUCCUUUACUUUUCUUCAACUGCUACAAUAUCAUCAGCUACUAAUACAUAAUCGGUAUGUCCCACAUCCCCGAUUGCGUACCCUCUGCCGUAUAACUUCGGAUUGACAAGUUUUACUUUCUGUUCAUACUUGAAAUGCUUUUCGCCAGCCUGCACGGGAAUUUCCACCACAACAUUUUCGCCUUUCUGUACGUCAGAAUAAAGGUUAUAGCUUCGUCUGGCUAUGACCUUGCGGUUGUUUUUAUCCCUUUCAAAGAUAGGCUCGCUUUCGCCUGCAAAUUCAAGAGUUCCAAAAGACUGUGCCAUAUCUGGCACGACAUAUUUCAUUUCCAUAUUGUUUUACCUCGUUUCUUUCUAUAUUUGAUAAGUUUAUGAUUGUAAUUUUUUAUUCUGGCUUGUCUGCCGUUUGACAGUUUCGGCGGAGAACGUGAUUUUUCUUUCAUCAUACCGUUACCGCCUUAUGAUUUUUUCAUUGUACGGCGUUUGUAAAGAUAUGUUCCAGCCAGUCCACCAGCAGAUGUAAGCAACAUCACAAGAAAUGCCAUGACAUUUGUACUGUCGCCCGUUUUAGGACUGUCGCUAGGUCUGUUUGGCUUUUCUGGUGUCUGCGGUGUUUCGAGUUUCUCUGGGACUUCUGGUUUUUCAUUAAAAGUAAUCGUCUGUCCCUCGUCCUCAAUAUCCUUAUGCUCGGUAACUUUCUUCGGCUCGUCUGGAUUGCUUAAAUCAUACAAUUCUUCAAAAGUUACAAGCUGUUUGCCGUCAAGGGAAGUAGCGUCAAAGGUAAAGGCAACUUCCGCUUUCAUAGUUUCGCUGUCAGCGGUAAAGGUGUAAUCACUUUCCACACGUUUCCCAUUGAUAAGAAGUUCUGCAUUUUCUUCUUUCAACAUCUGCCAGCCUACAAGUUUGUACUGUGUACCGACUUCCAAGCCCUCUAAGGUUACGGUAUCAAUGAUUGUAACGUCUUUUCCAGCUUCAAUCUCUUUGUUGCCGUCUUUGUCGGUAGCAGUCGUAUGUAUCUUGAUGAUACGUUCUGUAAUCAAUACAGUUUGUCCGUCGUCCUCAAUGUCUUUGUGUUCCGCAACUUUCACGGGUUCGUCUGGAUUGCUUAAAUCGUAUAAUUCCUCGAAUGUUACCAGAUUUUUACCGCCAAGCUCGGACGCAUUGAAUGUAUAAGAAAUUUCCACUU
rnacentral:rRNA from 1 species